ensembl:lncRNA
GUGGAAGAAGGUGCUCUGGUCAGAUGAGACCAAAAUGGAACUUUUUGGCCAAAAUGCAAAACGCUAUGUGUGGCGGGAAACUAACACUGCACAUCACUCUGAACACACCAUCCCCACUGUCAAAUAUGGUGGUGGCAGCAUCAUGCUCUGGGGGUGCUUCUCUUCAGCAGGGACAGGGAAGCUGGUCAGAGUUGAUGGGAAGAUGGAUUGAGCCAAAUACAGGGCAAUCUUGGAAGAAAACCUCUUGGAGUCUGCAAAAGACUUGAGUACGGUGUACAUUUUAGGACAUCGUCAGGUCUCAAGAAAAAAGUUGUCAGGUAUCAGACAAAAAAUUGUCAGGUCUCAGUUCUCAAAAAAAAAGUUGUCAGGUAUCAGACAAAAAAUUGUCAGGUCUCAGUUCUCAAAAAAAAAUUGUCAGGUCUCAGACAAAAAAUUGUCAGGUCUCAGUUCUCAAAAAAAAUUGUCAGGUAUCAGACAAAAAAUUGUCAGGUCUCAGUUCUCAAGAAAAAAGUUGUCAGGUAUCAGACAAAAAAUUGUCAGGUCUCAGUUCUCAAGAAAAAAGUUGUCAGGUAUCAGACAAAAAAUUGUCAGGUCUCAGUUCUCAAAAAAAAAAUUGUCAGGUAUCAGACAAAAAAUUGUCAGGUCUCAGUUCUCAAGAAAAAAGUUGUCAGGUAGAACACAAGGUACCAUACAGAGAGAAAAUCUUCCUGCAGGUGGCGGUGUUGUCAUGUCCCACCCAAUGACACGACAGCUCCCCAAAAAUGAAGCCAAAACGUCUCUAUCGCCCCCUGGUGUCUGGCUGCAGUAUAUACGUCAUAAACCCCACCUCCUCCACAUUAGCGGAUGGGACUGGGGUCAGACUAAAAUAAAGUUAUUCUCCUCAGAUAAUUUUUUUCCAAAGAUUCUUUCUUUUGUUAUCAAUAGUUCUCAUCACACUGAUUGAUGUUCAAGGGGUCUCCUCUCCCAUAAGUUUGAUUCUAAUUCCUACCGCGGUGAUGUUAAAUUGGGGUGAAACGUCAUCAUAACAGCUUUGACUGGCAGCUGCAGUUACGGAGAAACUUGCGUAUCUCUGUUCGGGAAUA